rnacentral:rRNA from 1 species
GACGAACGCUGGCGGCGGGCUUAACACAUGCAAGUCGAGGGGAAAGGCCCUGCUUGUGUGGGGUGCUCGAGUGGCGCACGGGCGCGUAACACGUGCGUAACCUGCCCUUGCCUUUUGGUCAUCUUCAGGCAACUGGGGCUAAUACUAAAUAGGGACUCCUUCUGCAUGGUGGGGGUUGGAAUGUUUCGGCGGUUGUGGAUGGACUCGGGGCUUACCUGCCUGUUGGUGGGGUGGUGGCUAACCAAGGCUUUGGCGGGUAGCCGGCCCGAGAGUGGGACUGGGCACAGUGGGACUGAGAUACGGCCCAGACUAGUACGGGAGGCAGCAGUGGGGAAUAUUGCAUGAUGCGCGGAAGUAUGAUGCAGCAACGCUGCGUGAGGGAUUGUGGCCUUCGGGUUGUAAACCGCUUUCGCGGGUAAGUAUGCGUGAGUGACGGUAAUGGAUGAAGAAGCACCGGCUAACUACGUG